ensembl:lncRNA novel transcript
CCAGGUGUCGCCGCCCGCCCAGCGUCUGUAGCGAGGGUUGCCGCAGGGCCCGCGGACCUCCUAGCGACGGCUGGGACCGGCAGGACGGGGAAGUCCAGGAAACUCACUUGCUCUGGGCUGCAUGCUGGCUAAACAGAAAGGAUCUGCCAGUGAAGGAAGGCAGAAAACCCACCAAUCCUGGACUCUGCAUGAACACCAGGAAAAACCCAUUUGCUGCAGGAAGGGGGCAGUUAACCUGAUGAUAUCAAGACCCUCCACUGAUACAAGACAUUGAUUGACUGACACUCAAGGAGGGGCAGGAAGAUUGCCUGACUUGGACUCCCAUGCUGACACUGGGUGAAAGCCAUCUGUUGCUACUGGAGGAGGGGGAGAAAACCGGCUUUCA